UCCCAGGCACUUCCGCUGAGGAGCGCGAGGCCGCCACUAUUAAUCCCCUCUGGGAAUUGAGUCAGCGCCCCUCUUCCGUGUCCUCUCCGAGCUUUCCUGGCCGGCACGUGGGGACCGCAGGUGUCCGCCCACGCCCUCGAAGGAGAGAAACUGCGGCCAGUGGUGGAGGGCGCUGCCAGAUUGACCCCUUGGGUUCGGAUAAUGUUGCGGGAUUUGGGUUCCUAUGUUCUUGACCAUGCACCAAGAAUUCAAGGGCACAGCACAGAUUGAGGAAGAGGUAGAAAGUUUAUUAGGAACUCAUGUGCGAGGACAUGUGGGCACUCUGCAAGAAAAGGGGUGAAAGCUCUGCUUGUCCAGGCCUCUUACCUCCUCCAGAGGAGCAAAAGAAAAUGACCAGGUUUCAGCACAUGUGCAGAUUUGUGUAACUACCACUUGGAAUCAAGAUGCAGAACUAUUCCAUCACCACAAGAUCUCCUGCAGCACAAUUAUAGGCACAUCCACACUCCCCCCUUCCCCCCUCCCUACCCCCUGGAAAUCACCAACUUGUUGGUCAUCUCUAAAAUUUGUCAUUUUGAAAGUGUUAUAUAAAUGGAAUUAUGCAGUAUGUAACCUUUUGAGAUUGGCUGUUUUCAAUAAGCAUAAUAUUGUUAAGGUCCAUCCAAGAUGUGUUUCAGUAAUUCACUUCUUCUUUAUUCCUGAGAGAUGUUCCUUACUCAGGUGUACCAUUCACCAUUGAACGACAUGGCAAGUUCCAGUUUUGGGCCUUUUAGAUUAAAGCUUCUA